rnacentral:rRNA from 1 species
GGGUGCGAUCAUACCACCACUAACGCACCGGAUCCC